rnacentral:rRNA from 1 species
UACGUAGGGGGCAAGCGUUGUCCGGAAUUAUUGGGCGUAAAGAGAGCGUAGGCGGACAUUUAAGUCAGGGGGUGAAAUCCCAGAGCUCAACUCUGGAACUGCCUUUGAUACUGGGUGUCUUGAGUGUGAGAGAGGUAUGUGGAACUCCGAGUGUAGAGGUGAAAUUCGUAGAUAUUCGGAAGAACACCAGUGGCGAAGGCGACAUACUGGCUCAUUACUGACGCUGAGGCUCGAAAGCGUGGGGAGCAAACAGG